GUCAUGCCAAUGGCACUGCCCGGUAGCUAAAUGCGGAAGAGAUAAGUGCUGAAAGCAUCUAAGCACGAAACUUGCCCCGAGAUGAGUUCUCCCUGAGACUUAAAGUCUCCUGAAGGAACGUUGAAGACGACGACGUUGAUAGGCCGGGUGUGUAAGCGCAGCGAUGCGUUGAGCUAACCGGUACUAAUGAACCGUGAGGCUUAACCUUAC
rnacentral:rRNA from 1 species